UACGAAGGAUCCAAGCGUUAUCCGGAUUCAUUGGGUUUAAAGGGUGCGUAGGCGGUUUUGUAAGUCAGUGGUGAAAUCUCUUUGCUUAACAAAGAAACUGCCAUUGAUACUGCAGAACUAGAGUACAGAUGACGUUGGCGGAAUGUGUCAUGUAGCGGUGAAAUGCAUAGAUAUGACAUAGAACACCAAUUGCGAAGGCAGCUGGCUACGCAUAGAUUGACACUGAGGCACGAAAGCGUGGGGAUCAAACAGG
rnacentral:rRNA from 1 species